UCGUGGAUUGAUUAACAGUCCUGUAAAUGCAGGACUGUAACAGGGACUGGUUUUGGAAAGCUCUCUGGCUCUAUAAAAGGCAGAGCAGAGGCAACGGAAAAAAAAAAGGAACGAAACAGGGGAGAACCGGAGAAAAAACGGAGAGGCAGAGCACGAAUCGAAACAAAAAAAAACACAGGGACGAUGAGCGGAAGACCAGAACGAACACAGAGGAACAAAUACACAGACGAAGAAGGAGAGUCAGGGAGGACGAACUGAGAAGAGGAACUUGGGCAAACAGAGAAAAAAAAAACAGAGCACGAAGAAAACAAAUCCAUAAUUUUACAGAGAGAGAACCUAGAGAGAAAAGAAACCAAGACCAGGAGAGAAAGCAAAGGAGGACAGAAGGGAAGAACGAGGCGUUGCCUAACCAGUGCACUAAUCACCCCGAACUUCGUCUUCGUCGUCAAGCACACCAGACCAGCGAUGCUGACGACAACAAAUCAUUAGGUGCCGACCAAUUACAGAUACCUAAGGCACAUGCAACGACUCACGACAUGGGGUUGCCAAGUGCGAUACUGCAACAUUGAGGGGGGCUUCCAUUCACAGCAGGAUCCAUUUACCUGCAAGUACAAGGCCUAAUGGAAAAAUGACUUUUCAAUUCGGAAUGGAGAAUCGACACCGGCGUGUUCAUGGUUCUAUUACCACGCACACCAACGACUCUGUUCCGUUUGUUUCGCAUACGAAGCGAAAGUUAAGUUGGAUGAAACUUUUUGUUCAUAUGCGAAGUGAUGACUGCCAAAAAGAGAUGCAGCAGUUCAUUGAUAGUUGAGCUUAGCACUUUGUGAAUACAUAUAACAGUUACUUGAAGGAGAGAUACGAGGACGAUCCUUCGACCCAUUUGGAUCUCGAUCUAGAUUUGUGAUUGGACACAAGAUCGUCUAGUGGGCCCGAUAAAAAUCGGGUGUAUGGACUCUUUAACACUACAACAAAGAACUUGUGGGCAAUCCAUAAUGUUUCGACCGUUGGAUGCUCACAAUUGGUUCCAAGCACUCACUCCCGAGUUUGAGGCAAUGUUAGACCAACGAAUACAUGAUCAGACGACCUAUCCUAACAAAAAAUACGAACGACUCAUUGUAGAUUAUGAAUAACUCCGCCAAGUGUUAAUGGAGAUGAGAUCACAAAUGGGUGGUCUAGGUGCUCCUCCUUAUUGGCCUCACGGUCUCGACGACGACCAACCUCCUCCUCCUUCAGCGCCGUCUUUGUUUUAGAUUUAUUUUAUUUGAAUGUAAAAUUGUUUAAAUUUGUAAUAAAUAUUUAAUUUUUCUAUUAUUUUAAUUUCUUUUUAUA